UACAGGGGGAGCGAGCGUUGUUCGGAUUUACUGGGCGUAAAGGGCGCGUAGGCGGCCACCGCAAGUCGACUGUGAAAUCUCCGGGCUUAACCCGGAAGGUCAGCCGAUACUGCGGGCUAGAGUGCAGAAGGGCAACUGGAAUUCUCGGUGUAGCGGUGAAAUGCGUAGAUAUCGAGAGGAACACCUGCGGCGAAGGCGGGUUGCUGGGCUGACACUGACGCUGAUGUGCGAAAGCUAGGGAGCGAACGGG
rnacentral:rRNA from 1 species